UAUAUCUCCAUUCUUGUUAUCGUGUAUUCUUCCCCUGACUCAUAUUUUCUGCUCCCUCAUGUCCUCGGCAUCCCUCUUCCUCUCUCCUUCUCAUUCUCCUAGCUCCUUCCCCCCCAACAGAGCACUUUCAAAGAAAAGUAGGUUCUAUGCAAUGGGAGUUGUGGUAGUGGUAGAAUUUUCCCAUGUUUUCUUCCUGAGUUGAAAUUGAGUCCUGGCUUCUCAAUUCCCACAUGCUACAUGCCACAAGUAGGCCAUUAGUCAUGUUCAGUCAUGAUGUGAGGGGGGGGACUUCUGGGUUCUCUGUCUCCUUACUUGUGAUUGUGAUGAAGGAUGGAUGACAAAAACAUUGUGUAGUGGCCUUGGGAGAUGGCUCAGUUAGAAACGUGCUUGCCUUGGAAGCAUGAGAACCUGAGUUUAUUCCUAGAACUGAUGUGGGAAAUAUCCAGGCAUAGUGGUACACACUGGUAAUUCAGGUGCAGGGGAGGCAGAGACGGGCAGAUCCCUGGGGCUCACUAACUAUCCAACUUAGCUUACUUGCCAAGUUCCUUGCCAUCCAGAGACACUGUCCAAGAAGGGAGGGAUGGAGGGAGAGAAGAAGGAAAGGAAAGAAGGAUGGAGGGAGAGAGGGAGGGAGGGGAGAAUGUUACCUGAUAGAUGACACCUGAGGCUGUCCUCUGACCUCCACAAAAUGGUCACUCAUAUGCACAUGUGUCUGCACACAUGUAUGUACCCCUACACAUGAAUGUACAAAAGAAAAUUCUAUAAUGAUAGCGGGAUGAAUGUCCUAUCCAAUCACUAAUGCUCUAGAGCAAAACAAGAAAAAAAACAUGGAAAGAAAAGUUUAAAAGGAAACAGCAUCUCUCUCCAAUUGACAAGCUAUGCUCUUCUCUGAAGUCCCCUGUGAUGUGUUGGCAAACAGGCAGAUAGGAAGGAUCUGAAGGAUUUAUGCCUCUGAGACAUUGAGCUACCUGAAUAGGAGCUGUGGGAGAACCAGGCUUGUGCCUUCCUCCAAUUGAUGCCUAGAAAAGCUUUCCACAUGGCCUUGGGCUGGUUAACCCAGAGAUCUGCAACAGCUUCCCUCUUCCAAGCUAAACACUGGAUUCUGAGCUAUUAACUCCAACUAAAGAAACUGCCUUGAGGAAUCCAAGGCAGAAUGAAAUGUACAAAGGAAAACACCUUUAAAAGCAGCAUGCAAAUAACAGUGUAGGAUUUAGGAAAGGUUCCUAUUUGAAAGGUAUUUAUGCGUUUAUAAGAUUCUUAUAAAAUCAGUCCUCUUGAUAUGUCUGUCAUAAGAGGCCAUGUUGAAGGUAAUAAAGAUAUGAAAAUGGAUGGUUUAUUGAUUGAUUUAGUUAAAUUUACUGAUGGAUGGACAAGUACAGUGACAUUAAGUCAUCUCCAUGGCCUCACAGAGAAAACAAAGAUGAUGGGAUAUCAGAGUCUCAAUUUCAUAUUGCUAGCUGAUAUGGAGGAUAGAUGACAAGAAAAUAAAUUUCAAACUGUGUUGUGACCUGCCACAAGGAUAGCCCUUUGCCCAUAAAGCAUUCUUUCUACCACUGGAAAUUUCUUCAUGAAACUUGGGAAACCAUCAUAUAGAAGGUGUUAUGGACCACAUGUUUGUGUUCCUCAAGAUAUCAAAGAUUGUCACCCUCAUCCAUUCAGUGGAGAGCCAAUGAAAAGAUAGGUGUAGGGCUGAAGAAUUGGUUCAGCCAUUAAGAGCACUGUUGCUCUUGUAGAUGACCUGAAUUUGAUUCCUAUAUUGCAGCUCAUAAUCAUCUGUAACUCCUCUUCUGGCCAAUGUGGGUACCUAGCGUGCACAUAUGCACAUACAUACAUACAUACAUACAUACAUACAUACAACACACACAUAAAAUGAAUUUUAAAAGAAAAUAAUGUAAGGAAGGAAGAAAAAGAAAAUGGAGGAAUAAGGAUAGGUGUCAGCAAAGCAGGAAGUAGUUUGUAGGGAGAGAUCUGUACGUUUGGGUGUGGCCACAGGUGCAUACUGGGAUGUGGAAUAAAGAUCUGAGGAGAGGGGACUCACCCUUUUCUCGGGGUUCUAGUCAGAUCUCAGAGUGCUGCUGAGACUGGAUUUUCGGAGCGCUAUCUGGUUAUAGGUUUCUCAUGUAAGUGAUCUCCCUUUUAAUAAAUAACCAACUAUACCCUUAUCCCAUGUACGGUUCGUUUCUGAGACAGUAGUUUUCAAACCCAUAAUGUGUGAAUUUGAUACUAGCUUCCAAAUAAACCAGUGCUCUGAUCUGAGACACCUAUGUUCCAGAUUGUGAGAGAUAAAUGCUGUUUGUAGCGUCCUGCUAGGGCUUUGUGUAACAGCCAUCCAAGCUGUCUAAAACAGAACUACUUAAAGAAGGGGUGUGAGUAUGGAUUGAAUUCCCUCAAUAGAAUCCAGAGUUACUAGUUAUCCUGCAUUUCUCUGAGCUUUCAAUUGAGUCUUAUAAACUCUCCAUUGGAUGUUAGACUGCACCUAAGAGACACUGGGUGACUUGGUGUUCCCAUACUUUUGAGCAGCUCUAGGGGGUGGCAGUUGUCCUUCAUAAAAUGACUAGGCCAGUCAUGAUGGUUGUGCAGACAUGGUAGAGAUGUGGUACAAAAGUAUUUGGGGAAGUGCUUCCUUCAUGUAGGACAUGCUUUUGUAUUACUGAGUUAUUAGAGUGCAGUUGGAACAGACUAAGUCUAAGAUGGUGCCCACACAUUCCCAACUCCUGGCAAGCAUGUCCUUGUAUGUUGUCUUCCCUUUGUAUGUGUGUUGAAAGAAGAACUAUGACUUGUUUCUAAUCUGGAGUUUAUUGCAAAGGUGAUGAGAGUUCACUUCCUUUCUAGAUGUAAAUUGUGUGUAGUGUGUACAUAUUCUCUAUUGCCCUCUAAGCUUUUAUAUUUGAUGUUUGCAAGGCCCAUCUGGCAAGAGCAUGAGGGCAGCUAUUUAGCCAGUGAGUUCAACACACUUAAGAAACUAAAUCAUGUGCAUCUGUUACUUUUAUGUUGCUGUGACCAAAUUCUCCAACAUAAACAACACAAAGAAGGAAAGUUUAUUCUGGCUCACACUCCCUAAGAGUUCAGGCUACCAUGGGGGCUUGGUGAAGCAUCUCAGUUCACAUCAUGGCAGGUGAGAAAGCCAAGACAGUGAUAGGCAGGGCCCAAGGGUAAUAUUUCUCCAAGAAUCUGCCUCCAGUGACCAGCUUCUUCCAGGAAGACUCUACCUCCCAAAGAUUCCAGAACCUUCUACCAGCUGGAGGUCAACUGUUCAAAAUAUAAGCCUAUAGGGAGUCAGGGCAUUUCAGACUCAAAGGAUAAGUUCUGCCAACAGUCAUGUGAACUUUGACAUGGAACCCUCCCCAUGAAGCCUUCAGACAAUACCUUGACUUUGACUCAGCCAAUGGCUGGCCUUAGCAAAGAACAUCACUAAGCUACCUCUAGACACUGAACUGUAGCCAUAAAGCAGCCAGUAUGCUACACAACCAUAGGUAGCUAAUAUGUCAGUCUACAGUACUUAUAUUUAGAUCAUUUUAAAAAUACUCAGAGCUAUUCCAAAUACCCAGAGAGUUUCUUACCAAGAGGACCUCUAAGUUAUUAUCUCCCAGAAUGAAGUGUUUGUUCCAAAAACAAACAAAAAAACCUCAUUUAUCCUCAGCACAGUGAUUUCUCAGCCCUGGAUGCUCAUCACCCCCAUGCAGAAGGUAUUGUCUUAUUCUAGGUCUAGAAGCUAGGCCCCUAAGUUGGUUAGGGAAGCUCUUCUGUUUGCAGCUCCUAGGUGUCCCCAGUGGGCAGCCAGGGUGGAGAUCCCCUCACAUAGGGUCAUAUUACAUCAUUGUCUGGCACUUUGCUGGUGGCAGUUUUGUCCUCUUUUCCUGUGCUUAAAGGUCUGGAAAUGCUGACUUCCACUCCCAGGGUGCCCAGCCUCACAAUUAAGACAUGAUUUUAAUAAAAAGCUCUUUUUCUGUGUCUGGUUUAAAUUUUCCAUUUUAUUGGACAGGAAGACACAAAAUGCCAGGCCAUGUGGCUCAUGCCCAGCCAUCUGGCAACUAGAGAUUCGUCUCACAGGGACAGAGGAUACAGCCAACUCAUGAACCCUUAAUGGGAAGCAGAAGUCAUUGAAAAAUUCAGAUAAUGGAAGUUUCAUCUCACUCCCUUUUAGGGCCUCUCCCAUAUCCCUUAGUAAAAGCCAAAGAACCCCUCAGAUAAACCAACUAGGCUUUUACCCCUUCACCUUGUGAGGUCUCUGGUGGCAACACCAACCAGCUUUAGAGAUGUCAAGGGAACAACAGCAGGAAGCAGGUUGUGAGAAGGAAAAACAACAGCUUUUGAAGCCCAUCUCUACCCUGAGGAAAAAAAAUAGUGUCCCAAGACUUCUCAACAACUACUUAUCUCAAAACUGUAAACAUGUAAGGAACUAUAGCAGUUUCUAUGCAGAUUAAGCAUCAUGUACUUGAGACAGUUUGAAACAUAAGUGGGAUUUUUCUCAGUGAUGGACAAAGAGAGACCAAAGGAAAGGGGGUAGAAAAUAAAUGAUACAGUCAAAGACAUUGGGUUCUGGGUGAAUUGAAUGGGCUAUGGCUUAGGGUGAGGAAGGAUAUUGAGGGUGAGAUGACUAGUCUUGAUUGUCAACUUAUUUAGAUUUAGAAGCCAGAUGGAAACAUACCUCCGGUUGUGUCUGUAAGGGAGUUUUUACAUUAGGUUAAUUGAGGUGGAACGAGAGCCCCCACCUGUGGAUGGUAGUGUUCUGUGGGCUAGGGGUCUGAACUAAAUAAAAAGUGUGUGAUGCACCUGAAGUCAUCACUCUGCCUCCCAAUUGUGGAUGCAGUGUGACCAGCUGCCUCCGGCUCCUGCUGCUAUACCUUCCCUGGCAUGGUGGGCUGUACCCCUGAACUGCCAUGCCUUCCCUGGCAUACUGGGAUAUACCUCUGAACUGCCAUGCCUUCCCCGGAAUGGUGGGCUGUACCCCUGAACUGUCAUGCCUUCUCUGGUAUGAUGGGCAGUACCCUCAAACUGUGAGCCAGGAUAAACCUGUACUCCCUUUAGUUGCUUUUGUCAAGUAUUUUAUAACAGCAAUAAAGAAAAUGACAAAUACAGAGAGAGAUAGCAGGAGGAAAUGAGCAGAUUAUUUUUCAUUAUAUAUAUAUAUACAUAUAUAUAAUUUUCAUUAUAUAUAUAUAUGUAAAAUUCUGGCAUUGAGGAUGAUCCUGGAACUCCACGCAUAACUACCACAGGGUCACACCUAGAUUGUAUUGAUGGAUGUUAGUUAUAGGGAUCAGUCCGACGUUUACCAGUUGAAGCAUCUUUUUCGCCUGUGAAACCCCAUGACCGACCAUACAUUUGGAUAACUUAUUUGGCCCUGAUUCCUUUUACAGCUAACUUGCUCACUUUGUCUCUUGAAGUUCAAUACACUAUGUGUUUUCUGUGCCAUAAGGAGAAUUUCCCACAGUCAUCUCUGAGUGGAAGAUCAGAGGAUGCCUACUUCUCUGCUUCCCAGGGAUGCCAGUAUUCAACACUUUCAAAAGGAAAUGUACUCCAGAUCUUAUAUAAAAAUAAAAUAAAAACACAUUUUUAAUGAAUUAGUCUUGAGUAAAAAUUUAGCUAUUUAGUAACACUAAUAUUUUUUGAAGAUUUAUUGAUUUUUAUUUUAUUGGUAUGGGAGUUUUUCUUGCAUGUAUAUCUGUGAAAUAUAUGUAUGCAGUGCCCAUGGAAGCCAAAAGAGAGUCUCAGAUCCCAUGGAACUGGAGUUACUGAUGUUUGUGAGCUGCUACGUGGGUGCUGGGAAUUGAACUCAGAUUCUCUGAAAGAGAAACCAGUGCUCUUAACUGCUGAGCCACCCCUCCAGCCCCUGACAUUAGCUGCAUUCCACUAUUUCCAGUACAGAAGAAAGUUCUAUUGGAAACCACUGGUCUAGGUUUGCAUAACUACACAUAUAAACAUUUUAUCAAUGGCAGUUUUGUUUCAUUAGAAUUUGUAAGUUUAAGUAUUGGUUGGAGAAAGCCAGUAUAGUCAUUUCACAGUAGUCAGGGAGCUAGGAAGAUGGAGUGAAAAAGGAAGAAAAAAGUCUUGGUGAUAAGUUUUGAAUCAUGUUAAGUGUUUCUUUUUGAUAAUUUCAUAAAUGUAGGAGAUAAAUGUGGGAACAUGUAGUUUUGGCCAUCUGCUGCCUGAGCGCAGUAGCCUGGACUAAAACCCAGUCCUCACAGGCUAAGGAGGGCCUGAGAAGUAGAAGGUAGAAGUCAUCACUUAUGGACAUAUAGAGUUUUCACUGGGGAUUAAAGGGCAGAACACUGUUGUGCUUGGGGCUGGCAUGUUUCUUUCUGGCUUUUGUCAUGGUGUGAAUAGGUCUGGGAAUGCUUGGAAGAAGAACAAGAGUCCCCAAUGAUAAAGAUCUACGUUUAAAGAAGAGAGUGUUGGAAUCAGAUGUUUUAGUCUGUUUUCUGUUGCUAUAACAAAAUACCUGAGGUGGUGAUUCAUUAAUAGAGAAUUAUUUGUCACAUGGUCUGGAGACUAGAAAGCCUAAGGGCAUGGUGCUGUUUAUCUAGUGGCCAUCAUAACAUGGUAGAUUGAGCGACCUAAUAGUACCAGCUCAGGCCUCUUUCUUCCUGUAUAGCUGCUAAUACCAUCAUGGGAGGGCACUCUCUUCUCUUUAACUCCUAAUUACCUCCUAAAAGUACUGCCUUCAACACAUGAAUCUGAGAGAGUUUCCAGCACAUAUGAUGUCAUCACAGGGUAAGGGAAUCUUUCAGAUGCUGCAUGGAGCAGUAGAGGCAGGCCUCUGCUGGGUGGUGGGAGAAGAGGAGGAUGGCAAACCCACUAAGUGUGAGUGAAGGUAAGAGAUUCCAGGGAACACACUGGUGAUGGGUUGCAUUUUCUUUAUAGUUUGAAGGAACAGCCAACUACUCUGUGUGGAAGAAAGGGAGGUACUUAGAAAGUUUUGAAAAAGCAAAAGAUUUAUGGCAGAUAGAAAAAGGGCCAAAGAGUCAUAUGAUGAUCAAUAAGAAAAUUAUAUGCAAUCCUACCAGAUAGUCUCUUUCCAACAAAGUGGAUUAUGUCAUAUUCAUCUACAAAAUUAUUGAGUUUUGACUUUCGUGCAUAUGUGUAGCGCAUAUGUACAUGUGUACUAUGACUGACUGCAGUCACUUCUCCCUCAUUUCUCCUCUUGUCUGAUAAACUUCCUUAUUGUGACACACAUUGAACCUUUAUGGUAAAUGUUGAUAAUAAAAAGUAGAAGGGACAAGAAGGGAUUAAACAAGUAUCAGAGCUGUGUUGCACAUCUCUGAUGACAGUCCCAGUCAUCCUGCUAAUCUCAGGGCAGGAGAUCUGAUUGUCCCGUUUACAGACGAGCAGGUACAGAGCAAAGUGAAGGUAGAAUUAAGUGCUUGUUUAACCACCUGCACAGUUGUGUUCCUUAGGCUGUUUAUUUCUUGAAACCUCGGGUUCCUGUUGGAGCCUAGGAAUUAAGCUUUCUACUUUAUAAAAUUAUUAAUAACAUCAAAUGAGAUCAUCUGUGAGAAAGAGCCUAUUACUGGGGUGCUUUAGUGUUGUAGGGGAGAGAUGUGGAUCAGCCCAGGCUGGCCUCAAACCUAUGGGUCUCCUGUGCUCCAGAUGCAAGGGUUCCAGUAACUUCUGAUUCCAGUGGGGUUCAUAAUGUGCAAUGUAGCUGGUGUUUAAAACAAGUGUUUUAAAGGGGAGUAAACAGUACAGCAGAGGCAGUGUCCUGAAUGGGAAAGCCACCAAAGACGCUGACUCUCAACAUACUUUUGAGCUAAUGAAGCCUCAUUCCCACACUCACUGCUGUCCACACCUUGCCAGUGGGGCAAAUGACAUUCCUGGGGACUGUCAUUUGAAGAUUUGAGAGUCUUCCUGCUUCUUGCUUACUGUGUGAUUUUGUCUUCUGGUACCUUGAAGGGAAAUGAUACAGUAGCCCGAAUUUCACAGAAGGUACCAGAAGAGACUGGAGGAAGAGUGUCAUGUUCUGAGUGAUGCCUGGAGUCAUCCUUUUAUGGAACAUUAAACAUUUCUCUCAGAUGAGUAACAGGUGGCAAGGGCUGUGGAAAGAUGACAAGGCAGAAGAUUAUGGGACCUAGGGAAGUCUCUUUUAGCAAGACAUCGGUAUGUGUCUAAAGACAUUGAUUAAUGAUACCUCCUGUCCCCUGUGAGCAGCAGAUCAGGAGCACAGGUGUGCUGAGAGCUGGGAACCCAGGGGGAGUGAGACUAAGGUCACAUCCAUCAGGGAAUGGCAGGGAGAACAGGCUUGAUCAGUCCUCAAUGUCCCAGGGUCACUCCCAAAUGUCUCCCCAAAGGCUUGAAAUCAUUUUUCCAGGCUGAAGCUGGAAAUCAUGAAACCUCCCAGAUCCAAAGACAUGCUCAUUGUCUCACUGCUGUUAGAAUCACUGCUCAUGUUUAUUGGAAAAACAGAACAUAGCACAUCUUGGCUUCCACAGUGCUCUGAGUCCUGGCUCUGUCACCUUUAAGCUUGUCAUUCUCUUGGGAGGUAACAAAACUGCUUUAAUUAAAUGUUCCCCCAGGAGAAUUAGCAAGAAGGCACUCCUGUGUAGCAAAUCAUGAAUAGCACUGCUAAAGGGGCUAAGGGGUGAGGGUGGAGGAAGAUUGGUCCCAGAAUAGACGUUCCUAUCAUGCCCAGUCUAGCCAAAGGCACGAUACUCAUACAAUACAAGGUACUUCUCAUAGAGAUGCCUGGACUUCCUAAAAGCAGAAAGGUAGCAAUGUGACAGUAAUGGCCAUUUUAUCAGCCUCGUGUGUCUGGAGUGGGCUUUGGGUGGUUGACAUUGUAGAGCCAAAGGAUUCUUUUUGUUGGUGGGACAGCAUGGAAGGGCAUUUGGUCUGGAGGGCCACCAGCAGGAAAGACAAAGCAGCAGCCACUCAGCUGACUUCGGAAUAACACAGCUGAGAUAUGGUCAGCCUUGGCAGUGGUAAGGUCAGUGAGAGUGCUCUUAUUGAACUGCCUUGAAGUUUCCUUUGCAAAGAAAACCUUUUGUUAAAGACUUGUUUAAAAGAAAGUGCACCAUUGCGCAAGUAUUUCUAUCAGGGUACAUAAAGACCUUUUGUGGGGAACCUGGGCAAAGACCAUGUGUGUUUCCCAAUAGGGCUUGGAGGUUGUUGGAAUACCUAGACAACGCCCUUUAGGAGCCCGGGUGGGAACACGGCCUUUACCGAGUCCCACCACGCAGGGAGAUGCAUUUGCAGAGCAGACAAUCUCAGUGUUUUGGGGUCAUUGACCUUGAACUCAUUUGGGAACAAGGGUUGAAACCAUCUUUAAAUGCCCAUCAAAGAAAAUCUGGUUUUUUAACAGUAGGCCUGAGGGUGCAGCUCAAUGGUAGAGACUUGCCUGGCAAGCAUAAGUUGCUAGUUUGACUCCCAGAAUCAUGAAACAUGGUGUGUCCACAAAAGCAAUUGCUCUUUAGAUUAAAACAACCUGUAGGUGUCAUGUCAGCCCUAGGGCGUUGCAGUUGGAAAACUGAUACAAUUUAUCUUUACCAAUUACCAGCUGCCUCAGCUCCCUGCUCAGAACUCCUUAAGUCUUAACAAGCUUUGGCUGUGAGGGAAAUACUAACUGGAGUGCGAGUCCCUGCAUAUUUGCAUGUAGGCGCCCUGCAUCUAAACCCAUGAGCAAAAGCAGCAGAACAUUCCGGAAUGUUCUCUACAACUGUGGCUGUAUGUGCUCUGCUCUGGUUGCUGAGACUCAGAGACUCACUUCUGAAAUAAAAGCAGAGUCCCGUGAUAUCUUUGUGAAUGUUCUCUUCUAGAAUGUUCUCUUCACGAAGAAGAGACUCUCUAAAGGUUAAGGGCCAGACCCAAGAUGGCCCAGAACUCAGGAUCCUACUACCUCUGGGAUUUAAGGUGUGGCAACAGGACAGAAAAAGGGCAUGCCACACAUAGGGUCUGAAGCCGAGUAGCCAGUAAGGCCAGCACACAAUAGAAAAGAAAGUAAGUUUUGCCAUUUUACCCAGUUAGACUCUACCAAAUGCCUAACGGGUAUCUCCUACAAUGUUUGAAGUAAGUGUGUGUACAGAACCGGCGUUUACUCUCUCAGUCCGCUGGGACAGGCAAGGCAGGCAUCCACCUGCACCUGCUACCCGUGCAGGUAGGGGGCGCGCGCGGGCUCCCGGCCCAGGGCGUUGAUGUGCUGCUGAGCACCUGCGCCUGCCAACUUCUCGUUGAGUUUUUGGUUGACCAGCUCCAGGUGGCGGCUGUUCUUCCGCGCCUGCCUCAGAGACCUCUUGACUUUCUUCACCCGCUCACGGAGCUGCCUGUUGCGUUUCUCCAGGGUGGCCACCUUCUGCUGCAGCUUCUUGACGUGGUCCUCUUCCUCAAACAGGGCCUUCUGCACCGAGGAGCACAUGAGCUGGGGGCAGAAACAGCGCAGAGGGAGAGGCAGCACAGACAACAGAAGACAGACAACUGGGAUUCCAUCGAAUGAAACAGCUUCCACAGAGCAAAGGGAGGCAAUCGACAGCAUGAAGAGGUAACUCCCAGGAGGGGAGAGUCUGCAAACCAUGCACCUGAAGCAAGGGCAAUAUUCAAGCUAGGUGAUGAGAAAGUAAGACCCGAACAGCCCUCUCUCAGUGGAGAACACAGACAUGGGCAAUGUAUAAGAAAAAAUGCUCAAUGUCACUACUCAUAAGGGGAAUGGAAUUAAACUAAUAUGAGAGCUCUCCUCACACUUGGUUGUUACCAAGAAGACAAGAGGCACACACAUGCACCAAUGAGGAAAAGGGAGCCUGUGUCACUGUUAGGAUAGUAACCCAAACUAACUGUGAUAGUCACUUGUGGCAACAUGAUGUACUUAGAGGACAAUAUGUUAAGUAAAAUAAGCCAGGCAGAAAGAGACAAAUGCCACGUGAUCACAGUCAUACUGGAAAUAUAAAAAAGCAGAAUUCACUGAAGCAGACUAAAAUGGCAGCUAUCAAAUAUUGAGACUGAGGGUACACUGUUCAACAGACAUGAAAAUCGGUUAGAAAAGAAUGAUUUAAAGAGUCUAUUGUACACCACAGUGACUGCAAUUUAUCACAAUAUAUUACACAUUUAAAAUUUUCAGAAAGAGGCCAGGCAUAGUAGUGCACACUGUUAACCCCAGCACUCAGGAGACAGAGGCAGGUAGAUCUCGGAGUCUGAGGCCAGCCUGGUCUAUAGAAUGAGUUCCAAGACAGCCAGGGCUACACAGAGAAACCCUGUCUUGGAAAAAAAAAUCAAACCAAAUUGCAGAGAAUAGGUUUUAAAUGUUCUCACCACAAAAAAAAGAAUGUGAGGCAAUAUAUAUUAAUUACUGAUUUAGAUAUUAUAUAAUAUAUACAUAUAGAUGAAGAUAAGUUGUAAACAAUAAAUAUAAAUUUUAGUAGUCAAUUCAGUUGCAAGGCCAUCUACUAGCAGACUACGAACCCAAACAAUUCUAUAUAGCAUGUGGCAAAGUCAUGGCUAUCAUUAAAACCAUUGUACAUCUAAGGGCUUCUGUCUGCUUACAGGGAAAAUGUCAUGGCUAACUACUAUAUAAGCUAAAACAUUACAGAAUUUUGAAGGGCAGAAUAGUAGUUUUCCACACACUGUCUGGUGUGGUGGUUCAUUAAUGUAAUUGCAAUGCUCAGGAGGCUGAGGCAAGAACAUCAUGCAUAUGAGGUCAGCCUGGGCUUCAUAGCAGGAUGCUGUCGUCCCCCCCCAAAAAAUAACCAAAGGUGGGGUGGAGGAAGGGAGAUAUAAAGGCAGGAAACAGAAAGGAGAGAAGAGAGGCAAGUAGAAUGAAAUAGACAAAAUUGCUAUCCUAACAGAGUACUGCCCCAGUCAUUUGUUUCACAAGGGUAAAUGGAGAAGGCAGCAGCUGUACAGAAAGGUACACCCAAAUGGGAGAAGGUCUAAAUGAUGGAAACAGACCAUGAACCAGACUAGGAAUACCACUGGUACAGGUCCUAAGUGCUCCGAGAUACAUGUGAGAGUCAACUAUGCUCUUCCAAUAUGGAGGCCUCCAAUUUGACUAGGGCAGGGACGGUUCCCAGAGUCGCACCAUAGUAAUGACAAGGAGUAAGUUCCCCCUUGUUCACUAUACAUGUUUCUCAGUUUCUAGUUGGCUUAGGCUUUCAGGGGGCCCUGACCAAGGUCUCAUAUCCUCAAGGCCUAUUACCCUCUAGCUCUAGCCCACCCUACCCCCAAGUUGUGAGAUGCAAAAGACACUAGAGUACAAAAUCUCUGUGACCAUGAAUGGGUAAAUGGGGAUUAUGGCCUCUGUGGCAGGAGAGGCUGAGGAAAAAACAUCAGAGUUACCCAGAAACUAGGCAGCAUUUCAGAAAGAUGACCAAGUGUGAUUAAUGGCCCCUUUAGUGGUAGUAGAUAAGGGGUGAUGGUCAGAGCAUCACCCAAAAUAGCCAAGCCACCACAAUGAAGAGCUCAUCCCAGGCCAACAAUAUGGCUUAAAAAAAGGUGCUUGCUGCCAAGCUGAUGAACUGAGUCCAACCCCCAGGAUCCACUUGGUAGAAAGAUCUCUACACACACACAUCAUGGCAUGUGACCCCAUGCUCACCCCCACCCCACUAAAUAAAAAAGUAAAUGUAAAAACUGCAUCUUUUUUUUAAAGCUCAUCCCAUUAAGAACACAGGACCAAAAUCAUAAGCUUCCUGUCUGGAGUUUUCAUUUAUAAUACCGGCUCUUUCUGAACCCGGUCCAGCUGGUUGGCGUGUCCCGAGCAAAGCAUAACUCACAGAGCAGAACACAGGUCAGAGGUUUCCACUGCCCUGCUGGCAGGAGCUGCCCACAUUCCUUCCCUCCUGUUUUUGCUCUUAAAAUGUUUUUUUCACUGUUGUUAUCUCCAGGAGCAGAGGGAAUGGAACCAACUGAAGGUAGGCUAAUGUAGUGGAAUGUGGAAAUCAUACAUGUGGCUGUUUUCUCCACCUAAAUUCAAGCUCACACCACCCAUGAAAAGGCAGGGGAUGGGUGAGGUGGCAUGGAAAGAGAAUUACUCCCCAAGGGGAACAUGAGGUACUGGGAAGCUGAGGGUGUGGAGCAGAGGACUGGUAGAGUUCAGGGUAUGAGUCAUAGUAGAGACAGGAGCUGAGCUCCCAUUCAAGAAGACCCAGAUGAGGCAGUACCCCCAGGCCAACAUGGCACCCCAUCCUUCUACAGAGAAAGAAGGGAUGGGAGAAUUAGGUUCUUCCCAAUACAGAGAAUAAACAAAGUGAUUUGUAACUGUUCUCCAUGGCAGCCCAGGAAAGUCCAUGCAUGUCAUAUACAAUGCUUUGCUUCCACCCUCCUUGUCCCAGAUGUCCAUCACAAGUUCCAAUGAGAACACUCUCUUGCCUGCUGCUGAAACGGUAGGGCUAACCUUAGGGAAUGAGAUCUGAUUUCUGCCCGGCAUGUGCCCCUUCAAUGCAUUGGUAUCAGAGUGAGUACAGCUCCAUUGUGUCCUCUCCACUUCCUGUGCAUAAGGAAGCCUCUUGGAGGCUGACACUAGGUAAGGGAUAGAAGAAGAGGAUGGCUUAGUAGAGUGGAGGCAGAAUAACAAUAAAUGUCCACAAUGGGUAAAUAAAGAAAAUGUGGUCUGUAUAUACCACAAUUAGUCAGCCUUUACAAAAGGACAUCUUGUCACCUGUUAUACAAGCAUGGAUCUUGCAGACAUUAUGCAAAGUAACAUAAGUCAAUCACAAAAGACAAAGACUCGGUUGGUGAGCUGGCUCAUCAGAAAAAGACGCUUGCUGCCAAGAUUAAGGACCCGAGUUUGGUCCCCAAAAUUCACAUACCAUCUCAUGAAGUCACAAACCUCUUAGAAACAGUGUUUCAUCCUUACAUGUCAUGAAACAAAUGAGCCUGAGGUGCCUGAGAUGGAGGAAUUUCCAGAAGUUGAAAUCUGGCAAGUCUGGGUAUAAUCUCAGAGGGGAGGGGGAACCAAAAAGAGUCACUGCCACCUUAAGCAAUGAAAAUAAAGCAACUUCCUCUUGGAUUAGUUUGACCAAAAGCAAACACAUAUUUAAAUUCUCCAUUUCUCUCCCUGUCUCUCUGCCUACUGGCCUGUCUAUCUCCAUUGUUUCUAAACUGUCUGUCCCUGAUGCCUGGAGUGUUCACCUGUGUGUGUGUGGUUCCUGCACCUAACAAAGAGCUUUGCUCUGUAUUUCUUGAACAACACAGAAAACACGGGGUGGAAAAGAAAUAAGGAUACUUAUAAAUCUUUCAGAGAGUUUUAUGAGGAAAGUACUUACUUUGCUGACCUGGAACAGCAAACAAAACCACAAUCAGAUGCUACCAUCCUAUAUCACACGUUAAGUCCACCAUAUACAGAAUCGUUGCUCUAUACUGUGUCUUUUAACCUGGUCACUGUUUCAGCAAGUAUCAACACACACAAUUCUGACAAGGGCAUUGGAGAGUACAUAAUUUAAGAUGAAAGGUAUACAUUUAGCUUAGGUUAUAAAAGCAGACCACAUGGGAAAUAUACAGCAUAGUAAGGUUCAUUACAUUGUUCUCUGAAAGGCAGGCUGAACUUAAACAUGAGAAGUUCACAGUCUUAAGUAACUUCCAGGCAUGUUAUGAACUUAGCUGCAAAGUUCAGUCUUUUUAGAGUCAAGAGAGAUUUUCAAGAAACUAUCACCACAGACAAAACAUCCUUGGGGGCUCUUCUUCCAUUCCUGUUGGGGAGGGGGCAGGGUGUCCUCUGGAUAGUCCCUUUCCUAAGUUUAUAUUAGGGUUGUGAGUUUAGAUCAAAACAGCCAUCCUUUCUUCCCAAGCCCCCCCUGAUCCAACAGCAAGCAGGGGCUACUCCUUUCAAUAAACAUUCUCCCAACAGGGUCUUCUCAGCUCUCUCCAUCUCAGAGGACUUAAGGAAGGUGCACUUGCCAUGCAUCACACCCAACCCCCACCCUCCCCAAAAGCACACCUUACAUGAAAAUGAGCCGAGGCUCAUCUCCAGGCUUGUCCCAAGCCCAAGCUCUGCAUGGGCAGAACAUUCUAGAGUUCUGCUCAGCCUAACUCUACCUGCCAGACAUUAAUUUAGCCUCAUGAGUUUCAGAAGUCCUCUAGAAAAGAGGAAAUUCAAAAGCAGAAAUCAAUCCACCCCUGCUGAUUUUCCAACUAGAUGAGGGGCAGACGAAUCAACAUGGAGCCAGCCAAUCCUCCUACCAUCUCAGAACUAGUAAGCUCCCUUUCCCACAGAUGGGCAAGCUUGCAGAAGUGGCUCUCAAUAGUCUAGUGUCCAGCAGCCAGGAAUCAAGUGGACGAAUCUCACUAACCAUUUUUCUUAUCACACAUUAGCAUGGAAGUUCUCCCCAGAAGCGUAUGCAAUUAACUAGUAAUUUUUACAGAAAGAACCCAAUGCAUAUAGCAUUGACCAUCCUUCAGCCAUGCUAACAAGAGUGAACUAAUCCACUCCCAUCUGUAGGUGUUAAAAUCCAGUCUCCCCUGGUUUCAAUGAGUUGGAGCUAGCCAGGCUAGGAAUCAGGUCAUAGCUCAGGCUCCCAAAGUCUCCAGUCCCUCAGUCCAUGACACUGUCUUCAGAACAGGAGUAGCCCAUCCCAACAGUAACAUUUUUGUAUUUUGUCUCUUAACUUGUGUGACUCCUGGAUCAGAACCCAGAUACUUGGGCAAUGUCAGCCCUGCUCACAACUGGAGCUGAGCACAGCAGCCCAGGUCUGGCAGGAAGCAACCUGUGCAUCUCUGAGCAUCUGGCUCCUGCAGUAUUUGUCCUUGAAUAGGGCACAGUGCUGGGGCUGGCAAGACGGCUCUGCAGGUAAAGGAACUUGGCACUAAGCCCAAUGACCUGAGUUUGAUCCAGAACCCACACAGUGGAAGGAGAGAACUGAGUCCCACAAAUUGUCCUAGCACAUGCAUACACAAAUUAAAUGUAAUAAAGUCUCUUACAAGGAGCACUGGAGUCAUGGAAGAGUGUGUGGGCUGGCAAAGGAAGGGGCUGAUAUGAGGAAUGGGAUGGUCCAGAAUUCUAAGACACAGGAGGACAGCAUCUUGUGGAGUGUGUUUUCUACAUCUGGCCCCUGGGCUUACUUUCAUUCAUCGCAUUACAACACAAAUAGAUGAAAACAGACACAUGGGCCUGUACAGAGUCCUCUCUCAUAUGCACAAUAAGCCAACCCUUGCUGAAAACAAGAUAGACGGGAGGGGAUGAAUCAGUGGCACACACAGGAUGCUUAGGGCAGAGGGACUGUUCUGAAAGACACAGUAAGUGCAGAUACAUGCCAUUCUAUACUUGCCCCCCACAAAACAUAGCACCAAACACAGACCCUAAUGUAAGGGACUGAGCCUGAGUGAUAAUGGUAUGUGUGAGUGUAAGUUAACAGAUCCUUAAACCAAUGUCUCACCCUGGUGGGAUGUUAACGGUCAGGGAGGAGGGCAUAUGUAAAGACAGGAGGUACAUGGGAGUUGCCUGCAUCUCUAUUCCAUUUUGCCGUGCCAUAAUCAACAAAAUUUAUUUUUUAGUAUGGUUGGUGUGUGUGUGUGUGUGUG